rnacentral:rRNA from 1 species
GGGGACGAGGAAAGGACGGUACACCUGGAAUAAGCGUCGGCUAACUACGUGCCAGCAGCCGCGGUAAGACGUAGGACGCAAGCGUUAUCCGGAUUUACUGGGCGUAAAGCGUCUGUAGCCGGUUCGAUAANUUGGGCGUGAAAGCUCCGGGCUUAACCCGGAGAGGUCGUUCAAUACUGUCGAACUAGAGGACAUCAGAGGAGCAUGGAAUUUCCGGUGUAGCGGUAAAAUGCGCAGAUAUCGGAAGGAACACCAGUGGCGAAGGCGGUGCUCUGGGGUGGGCCUGACGCUGAGAGACGAAAGCUAGGGGAGCGAACAGGAUUAGAGACCCUGGUAGUCCUAGCCCUAAACGAUGGAUGCUAGGUGUGGGGCCGAGAAGGCUCUGUGCCGCAGUUAACGCGCUAAGCAUCCCGCCUGGGGAUUACGGCCGCAAGGCUAAAACUCAAACGAAUUGACGGGGCCCCGCACAAGCAGCGGAGCGUGUGGUUUAAUUCGAUGCUACACGAAGAACCUUACCUGGGUUUGACAUGUACGUGGUAGAGAAGCGAAAGCGGAUCGACCCUUCGGGGAGCGUACACAGGUGCUGCAUGGCUGUCGUCAGCUCGUGCCGUGAGGUGUCGGGUUAAGUCCCGUAACGAGCGCAACCCUUGCCCUUAGUUACAAGUGUCUAAGGGGACUGCCGGCGGUAAGCCGGAGGAAGGUGGGGAUGACGUCAAGUCAGCAUGGCCCUUAUAUCCAGGGCUACACACACGCUACAAUGGUCAGUACAAAGGGCAGCGAAGCCGCGAGGUGAAGCGAAUCCCAACAAAGCUGAUCUAAGUUCGGAUUGCAGGCUGCAACUCGCCUGCAUGAAGCUGGAGUUGCUAGUAACCGCGCGUCAGCUAUAGUGCGGUGAAUACGUUCCCGGGGCUUGUACACACCGCCCGUCACGUCAUGGGAGUCGGUAACGCCUGAAGCUGGUAGUCUGGCCCGCAAGGGGGGACGCCAUCAAAGGCGGGGCUGGCAACUGGGACGAAGUCGUAA